rnacentral:rRNA from 2 species
CACACGGUAAACGAUGAAUACUCGCUGUUUGCGAUAUACUGCAAGCGGCCAAGCGAAAGCGUUAAGUAUUCCACCUGGGGAGUACGCCGGCAACGGUGAAACUCAAAGGAAUUGACGGGGGCCCGCACAAGCGGAGGAACAUGUGGUUUAAUUCGAUGAUACGCGAGGAACCUUACCCGGGCUUAAAUUGCAGAUGAAUUACGGUGAAAGCCGUAAGCCGCAAGGCAUCUGUGAAGGUGC